AGAGUUUGAUCAUGGCUCAGAUUGAACGCUGGCGGUAAGCCUUAAACAUGCAAGUCGUGCGGUAACAGACAUAAAGAUUUAGCUUGCUAAAUCCGGUGCUGACGAGCGGCGAACGGGUGAGUAACACGUAGGAAUCUACCCAGUAGCGGGGGAUAGCCCAGGGAAACUUGGAUUAAUACCGCAUACGCCCUAAGGGGAAAAGAAGGCCUCUCUUUGAAGCUUUCACUAUUGGAUGAGCCUGCGUAAGAUUAGCUUGUUGGUGGGGUAAAGGCCUACCAAGGCAACGAUCUUUAGCUGGUCUGAGAGGACGAUCAGCCACAUUGGGACUGAGACACGGCCCAGACUUCUACGGAAGGCAGCAGUUAGGAAUAUUGGACAAUGGGGGCAACCCUGAUCCAGCUAUACCGCGUGUGUGAAGAAGGCCCUAGGGUUGUAAAGCACUUUAAGCAGGGAAGAAGCAUAUUAAGUUAAUACCUUAGUAUGUUGACGUUACCUGAAGAAUAAGGACCGGCUAACUCCGUGCCAGCAGCCGCGGUAAUACGGAGGGUCCAAGCGUUAAUCGGAAUUACUGGGCGUAAAGCGCGCGUAGGCGGUUUAAUAAGUUGUAUGUGAAAGCCCUGGGCUCAACCUAGGAACUGCAUACAAAACUAUUAAGCUUGAGGACGAGAGAGGAGAGUAGAAUUUCAGGUGUAGCGGUGAAAUGCGUAGAUAUCUGAAGGAAUACCAAUGGCGAAGGCAGCUCUCUGGCUCGUUUCUGACGCUGAGUGCGAAAGCGUGGGUAGCAAACAGGAUUAGAUACCCUGGUAGUCCACGCCGUAAACGAUGAUAACUAGCCGUUGGGCAGAUUUAACUGUUCAGUGGCACAGCUAACGCAUUA
rnacentral:rRNA from 1 species